rnacentral:rRNA from 1 species
CGAACGGGUGAGUAAUGCGUGACCAACCUGCCCCAUGCUCCANAAUAGCUCUUGGAAACGGGUGGUAAUGCUGGAUGCUCCAACUUGACGCAUGUCUUGUUGGGAAAGUGUUUAGUGGCAUGGGAUGGGGUCGCGUCCUAUCAGCUUGUAGGCGGGGUAAUGGCCCACCUAGGCUUCGACGGGUAGCCGGCCUGAGAGGGCGGACGGCCACAUUGGGACUGAGAUACGGCCCAGACUCCUACGGGAGGCAGCAGAC